CUUAAUGAACACCAACUAUAUGUCAGGCAUAUGAUAAGAAUUGAGGGUAUGGCUGUGAACAAAGCGUAUGUGCUCCCUGUUGUCACAGAGCUUGUAGUCUAACAGAGGAGCUUGAUGUUAAAUAACAACAGGGAAGGAUAGGAAAACAUGAGGACAUGGAGUAAGGAGAUCUGACCCUGAGGAAGGACUGGUUACCCUGAGACAUGAAGGAGCCAUGAAAAUCAGCUGAAUUAAGAGGAUGAGGACGAAUGCCGGGUACUGAAGGAAGAGUCUAGAGGAGUGAGAACAAGAUCCUGGCUCUCAGAAGACAGCUGGAAAGACAAGAGAUGGAAUGCACUGUAAACUGUCUCGUUGUGGAGGA